ACUCUGCCCAGAUGACCUCCAUUAUGACACAGCUGCUACCAGGCCUUCACAGCCUAAAACAUCACAGAGUGCCUGCAGGUGGCCGGAGAGCAAUGCUGAGCCCUGCCCUCUCCUGCAACUUGGACUUGGAGACCACAGGGAAGGAGACUUCAGGGUCUUGAGGACUGGGAGGAGCCACAGCCCAGGAGGAGGGCACAUCUGAGCCCCGGGAAUGAGCCCACACCCAGGGCGGCCCCCACUGGAGCCCAUAGCCCAUCCUGCCUCCUACAUGCUAGUGGGUGGGGUACCAGAAGGCCCCUGGCUCAGCCCCAUAUCUGCUCCAGCCAGGGUCAGGGGCUGAGGUGUGCCCCCGGGAAAGGGCCUGCCUCUGCCCCACAGUGGGGAUGGGAAGUGGGUGCCCAGCAGGCCCUCCUGAGAGUGAAUGCAGGAGGGUGGAAGGAUGGACUUUAAGCUUGUCCAGGUGCACUUCUGCUGGAGCAGUGGCCAAGAGCAGGCUGGAACCAUGAGGGGGAGGCAGGAGCUGCGACAGGCCCUGGGUUGGGCCCCCAGAAUGGCUGGAGCGUUGCAUCCUCUCAACAGUGUGUGAGGUGGAUGCCACUGUCUGCAUUCUGCUCGUAAGAAGGCCGAGGCACAUAGAGGAAAGCUGAGCACAAGCAAAGCCACUCCCCAGUCUGAUUCCCAUGAUCUACAAAUGGCAAUGCCACAGGGGCCUGCAGGAAAGGGGGUGGCCUCCCAUCACAGCCCUAGAUCCUAUAAGAGGAGAGGACUCGCAGGCUCAGGAGGUCAAGGGAAGAUGGAGGCAGAGACUGGGGUAAUGCUGCCACAAGCCAAGGAACGCCAGGAGCCACCAGAGGUUGGAAGAGGCAAGGGAGGGGCUUCCUCUAGAGGCUUCAGAGAGAGAACAGACCUGCCAACACAUUGUUGUGGACUCCUGGCUUCCUGAACUGAGGCUAAUCUGGGUUGAUGGGAAGGUAGAGGAGCAAGAGUGAGAGUGGAAGCACCUGAGGCCUCUGGAACUUCAGCUCAGAAACAGCAUGAGUCACUUCUGCUGCCUUUGCCCAGUUGGAGCAAGUCACCGACCAGCCUGGACUCAGGGAGGGGAGAUAGACUGUACAACCACAUGGCGAGGGUGUGGAUACCAUGUGGAGGGUCCAGCCACAUGUGGAUGUGGAGGAAACUUCCCAGGUGACAAUAAGACAUCCCACUGCCACUCUACUGGAAACCCUGAGGAUAAAGGCUCAGGGCCGGGGGAGUGGGGAGGGGCAGUGCCCGGCAGAGGAUGUCAGUGACAGUGUGAGGGCCCAACUGAGGCCAGGCAUGGUUGGGGAGAACAUGAGGGAAGAAAGGCAGGAACCAGGCAGGAGGCAGCCUUGCCACAGGGAGCCCAGGAUGGUCUCAGCUUGAAGCACCAGCAGGUCACACUGGCUCCACUGCCACUGGGGCAGACUCUAUUUGCAGGCGGCUCAUCCUAGCAACAGAGACCCAGGCAGCAGGAAGCAGGGCCCAGGGCCCUUGGGAAAGCUCAACUGUCCUCCAUCCUGGGCACAGCCUGGGUCUCCUGCCUCUCAGCAGUUCCCAAGAGGAGAUGUGCCUGCAGCCUCGGGAGCCCAGGGUUCUUAUCCUCCUGUCACCAGGCCCAGCAGGCAGGCCCUUUCCUGACUCUUGCUAAGUGCCUUCAGUCGUGUCCAACUCUUUGAGACCCUGUGUACUGUACUCGCCAGGCUCCUCUGUCCAUGGAAUUCUCCAGGCAAGAAUACUGGAAUGGGUUGCCAUGACCCUCUCCAAGGGAUCUUCCCAACCCAGGGAUGGCACCUGCAUGCCUCCUGCAUUGACAGUUCCAGAGACUGGGAAGUUCAAGAUCGAGGUCCAGCAGGAUCAGCUUCUGGUGAGGGCCUUCUUCCUGGCUUGCAGAUAGCCGCCUUCUCACUGAGUCCUCACACAACAGGGAGACAGAGGGAGCUCUCCCAUGUCUCUUCCUAUAAGGACUCUACUCCCAUUGGAUCAGGGCCCCCAUAUGACCUCAUUCAACCUAAUUACCUCCCUCCAGACCCUAUGUCUAAAUAUAGUCACACUGGAGAUUGGUAUGAACUGGAGGGAAGAUACAAUUCAGUCCAUAACAGGGGUGUUGAUACAGACAGGUUAGGUUGCAAAUGAAAGAUUUCCACCAUCUGGUGCUCCUCUCUCACUUCCUCUCCCAGAGCAACGAACUUGCCUCCCCCACCCAUCACUCC
ensembl:lncRNA